UCCCUGGUGGUCCAGUAGUUUGGUUAGGACUCGGCACUCUGACUACUGGGGCCUGGGUUCAAUCCCCGGCCGGGGAA